rnacentral:tRNA from 4 species
GGGCGUAUAGCUCAGCGGUAGAGCUCUGGUUUUACACACCAGCGGUCGGGGGUUCGAACCCCUCUGCGCCCAC